GCAGAGCCGGUUAGAGAUUCCGCUUAAUGUAAUUAGGAGGCCAAGCACCAAUGUCUGGUUUUCUCAUCUACUACAACUCAUAGAACCCUGAGAUGAAAAGUUGUCGAAUUUGUCACACUGACUGGGGAGAGUCCAAGUGCUCCCCAACACUCUAGCGCCAUCACCGGGUCAAACAUGGACCUAAUUCUGUACACCAAAUUUGGCACAUCAUUUGCAGAGUAAAAGGUUUGGAAUUUUAAUUUCUCCCAACAUGUUGGCCUUCUGAUCAGAAACUUGACAGUAAGGAAUUUAUGUGCCUACUUAUCACUUUUGGAGCCACUCACACUCUCCACCUCUGAAGUGUGUGUGUUACUGCCCAACAAAUCAUCAACACUCAUCUACACACCUUAGAGGACAUUUAAAGAAAUGCUGUCUGCAAAGGUCGAGAGGCCAGACAUAUGUCUCACCCCAACCACAGACUAUUUACCCUUCUCCCAUCAGGCAGACGCUACAGAUGCCUCAGAGUCGCACAAACAGGCUAUAUAACAACUCCAUUCCUGUGACUGUUUCUGCACUGAACAUCUGAUCAUAUAAUGUCAAUA